UGGGGAAUAUUGGGCAAUGGACGCAAGUCUGACCCAGCAACGCCGCGUGAAGGAAGAAGGCUUUCGGGUUGUAAACUUCUUUUAAGAGGGAAGAGUAGAAGACGGUACCUCUUGAAUAAGCCACGGCUAACUACGUGCCAGCAGCCGCGGUAAUACGUAGGUGGCAAGCGUUGUCCGGAUUUACUGGGUGUAAAGGGCGUGUAGCCGGGUCGGCAAGUCAGAUGUGAAAUCUGGAGGCUCAACCUCCAAACUGCAUUUGAAACUGUUGAUCUUGAGUAUCGGAGAGGUAAUCGGAAUUCCUAGUGUAGCGGUGAAAUGCGUAGAUAUUAGGAAGAACACCAGUGGCGAAGGCGGAUUACUGGACGACAACUGACGGUGAGGCGCGAAAGCGUGGGGAGCAAACAGG
rnacentral:rRNA from 2 species